rnacentral:rRNA from 1 species
AACGAACGCUGGCGGCAGGCUUAACACAUGCAAGUCGAGCGCCCCGCAAGGGGAGCGGCAGACGGGUGAGUAACGCGUGGGAAUCUACCCAUCCCUACGGAAUAGCUCCGGGAAACUGGAAUUAAUACCGUAUACGCCCUACGGGGGAAAGAUUUAUCGGGGAUGGAUGAGCCCGCGUUGGAUCAGCUAGUUGGUGGGGUAAAGGCCUACCAAGGCGACGAUCCAUAGCUGGUCUGAGAGGAUGAUCAGCCACAUUGGGACUGAGACACGGCCCAAACUCCUACGGGAGGCAGCAGUGGGGAAUAUUGGACAAUGGGGGGCAACCCUGAUCCAGCCAUGCCGCGUGAGUGAUGAAGGCCUUAGGGUUGUAAAGCUCUUUCACCGGGGAAGAUAAUGACGGUACCCGGAGAAGAAGCCCCGGCUAACUUCGUGCCAGCAGCCGCGGUAA